GUUAAGGUCUCUGUUGCUUUGCUACUGUCAGCCCACCAUGAACUGUUGCCCCUCUUUCAACCUGCUUUUGCCAGCCAAUUAUCAACUGAAACCUCUACAAACUGUUUAUAAAAACAUGAGGACCCACUCUGGAAUUGAAAAAUGAGGGCUCAUGAUAAAGAUGGUUAGUCUUCCUAAAUAUAAUACAGAGAGAAUUAUUAUCUGCAGAGCAAUGAAUGCCUUUGGAAUCAAAGCUCCUGUUAGCAAAAUUAAAUUUGGCAUGCUGUGUUGGAGAAAAGCUCCAUUCUCUCCAGUCUUAUGUCAAAGUCAGAGUAACUUAGGAAAAUAUCUUUGUAUGAUCUCUGCUAUAGGAUUCUUCCAGAUGGACCAUAUUUUGGACUCACAAUCCCAGUGUUGGGAUCAGUCACCAAGAUUUGAAAGUGCUGGAAUUAGGGCAUGUGUAAAUUCUAAUCAUUGGGAGGAUACCCAUUCAGCAGAUGGAAAAGAAAUCCAAUUGCUAGUGUGUUGCUACAAGGGCCCAGCCUAUAACACCUGGAAGAAGAUGAGGAAUAUGGACUAGGAAAUGGAGUUUUCAAAAACUACAGUAUAAGACACAUUGUCUUUAAUCCUCUUCAAAAUACUUUCUCUUUGCUCCAAACACACUUGUCUCAUCAUCUUUCUGAAGUGGUUCUAAAAGUCCUCUUUCAUGACUGUCUUUAAGAAGUGUGAUGAAAAGUAUAGUGAAUACUGCUAUGGAGUGUCGUCUAAUGGAGAGGCAUAUUAUAUUGUGUCCUCAUCUACCUUAUUCACCUAAUCUUGCACCGUAUGACUUCUGGCUCUUUCCCAAAGUCAAAAUGACCAUGAAAUAUUUUGAAGUGAUUCAAGGCAACCUCAAUAGCACAAUGAAAGACUCUCAUGAAAGAAGACGUCCAGAACUGCAUCAGAAAGUGGCAAGAAUGAUAAGAAAUACUCAGUACCACAAGCUGAGAGAGAGAGAAACAAAUGCAGACUGCAGAGAAACCACUGAAAUCACCAGAUUGGAUGAAGAAAACUCUUGCCUCCAUCUCCCUCAUUCCAUUAGAACAGUUUUACCAAUAAUAUCAUUAUUACUAUCACUAAUUGUUAUGGUUUAUGUUUAGAUGUCCCCCCAAAGCCUCAUGUUGAUGAGGUGGGGCUAUCUUUUUCAGAGGUAGUUGAAUUUGGAACGUGUGAGACUGGGGUUAAGGGCCUGUGAUUACUAAACCACUAUGUGUGAGUGAUUAGUUUGACACUGCCCUAAUCCCAGUAGUC